ACGGGGUGCAGCAGGCGCGAAAACUUUACAAUGCGGGAAACCGUGAUAAGGGAACCUCGAGUGCCUGUAUAUGCAGGCUGUCCAGGUGUCUAAAAAACACCUGAAGAAAGGGCCGGGCAAGACCGGUGCCAGCCGCCGCGGUAAUACCGGCGGCUCGAGUGGUGGCCACUUUUAUUGGGCUUAAAGCGUUCGUAGCUGGGUUGUUAAGUCUCUUGGGAAAUCUGACGGCUCAACCGUCAGGCGUCCAAGGGAUACUGGCAAUCUUGGAACCGGGAGAGGUGAGGGGUACUUCGGGGGUAGGAGUGAAAUCCUGUAAUCCUCGAGGGACCACCUGUGGCGAAGGCGCCUCACCAGAACGGCUUCGACAGUGAGGGACGAAAGCUGGGGGAGCAAACCGGAUUAGAUACCCGUGUAGUCC
rnacentral:rRNA from 1 species